AAGCGGCGGACGGCACGCGCCUCAAGAGCUCAGCGCAUCCUCGGAUGCGCGCCCACGCGCGCGUACAGGCGUAGCCACAGCACACAGCACUGUCUGUCGUUACGUCACCCGCGCCCUUCAUUGUCAACUUCGUGGACCUUGAGGAAGAAGCGACCACCAGCUAGCGACAAGAGCAGCGAGCUGCACACUGUGCACAGAGUCAGCAGCGGCAGCGGCGGCACCGUGUCGGGUGCGAUCGGCGUCACCACCGCUGUCGCGCCUGCGUUAGGCGGUGCCACAGCUGGCAUACGCGGCACCGGCCGCUGCUCCCGCGCCGGUGAGAAUCGGUUUUGCGUGCCGCGCUGGCGCCUCUCCCGGACACAAUGUCCGGCACGUCGUCGCGAGAUGUCUCCACGGAGUCGGUAUCGAGGACGGCAUCCUCGUGCUCGGCAGUGAAGGCAGGCGGAGCGCCCGCGCCGGCCUCGACGUCCGUAGUGAUACCCGCACCGGUGGUGAAGCAGAAUAUCGAGGAGGUCCUGCGUCACGGCAGUCCUAGUACGCGCGGUCUGCACAGCAUCAGCCCCCUGGCUCCCGAUGCGGUCCGAACGCCUCCCGCGGAUUCGCGGGGACCGCCGCGGUACCUUCGCGCUCGAGGGAUCACCCCAUCUCCCGCAGCAUCCGCGGCGAGAGGUAGGCGCGAGGCGCGAGAACCGCCGCAGCCGAAGCAGGACAGUCGGCGUCGGCGCCCCUUCUCGCGCGGGCGUGGCGAUCGGCAUCGCAGCAGCAGCAGCAGCAGCAGUCACCGUCAUCAAGGCGAGGGGAAGCAAGGCAAGGCGCAAGCUGCCUCGCCACCACAGCCGCAGCCUCCCGACGCCGCCAGCAGUGACUCUCAAGCCCCGACGAGGCGCGAGAUGACAGUACCGCCGCAGCUCGCCGCGCCCUCGCAGCAGUCGGACUUGCCGCUGCCCCCGCCAAAGCAGCGGCAACUCUCUCCUAGCGACAACCAGUGCGGCAAUCAGGCCCAGCAGGAGGUGCAGCGGCGAGACCGCCUUUCGCAGCCAGAUGACUCAGACGGCGCGGUCGCAGACACGCAGGAGCAGGAGCAGGAGCGUUCGGCUCGAACGCCGCCGCCGCGGUCGAGAAGCCCUGCUAGUGCCCACGCCUCCUCCCUGCGCGUGUGCAAUGGCACUAAGGAAGCGGUGGCAGGGGCUCCGUCCCGCAGAGGUCAUGUGGAAGACAUGGUGCUCACCGUGCCGCGGCUGUCGCCUGCUCAAGCCUCCCCCCUCGCACCUUCGACGCAACCGCAGCGCGCUCGGAGGACUGGCGAGGACUUCCGCCAUGGUAGUCCCGUUCAGCCCGCAGCCUGGCAGCAGCACCUCUUGAAGCGUCCACUUCAGGUUGGCAUCCCCGGCCGCGUUGGCGUUCCUGGCAAGGGUUCCGCGGCAGCGGAGGUGACGCCGUCAGCCGCACGGCGUGGCGCAGCCCUUUCCACCCCCCCACAGCUCGUUAGCACCUCACCCAUCGCGCGCUCCUACGUGGUGCAGUCCUUCUCGAGCUAUCUACCGGGUGAGUCUACGGUGCUGCUCGGGGCUCACCAUCGCGGAGGUCCGAGCCCGUCGUCCGCACCGCCGCCGCCGUCUCAGGCGGUCGGCCCCAGCGCUGGCGUUGCCGCUACCACUUCAAUGCCGGCCGUCGUAAUCGAGGUGGCGGUCGUGGCCACCGCCGCGCCAUCGCUGCCUGAGCCGGAGGUGCUGCAGCUCUACGAAGAUAUGCUUCGCCAUCGGCAUGCCGGCAACUGUAAAGGCUGGAGCGGAGGUGUGUCUCGUCACGACGGCCGCGAUGCGCAGCAACGGUACACCCACGAUGACCUCGCGGCCGCGUUUGAUCUCAUUGUGCACAUUCAACUUGCUACUGUCGCCGCCGUCACGGUCAGUGACAUCAAGGACGAGGUGGCGCUGCGCACUGGCUUGCCAGCCGCGCAGCAGUGUCUUGUAUACGACGCCGUGUUGCUGCAGGACUGUCUACCCGUCUGCCUGCUUCCGUCGGUCGCUGACGACGACGGCGUUGGUGAUGGACAAGAUGCCGCCAUGGGACGAAGUGCAGGCCACGACUGCUGGAGACUCGUGUGCGUGCCGCUGUCGAGCGACUCAUCGGCAGCGGCGAUGGCGCGGCAGACUCGUCGGAUCGAGUCUCCGCCGCGAGCGGCGGCGUCGCCAGCAGCAGCAGCCGAUGCCAUGCCCUAUGACGACGGCGGAGACAAGGCUGCAGCAACACUUCAGUCCCUGCUGUCGAUUUCUCCUGUACGACCGAGGACGCGAACCUCUCGCGCAGCAGAGGCGGCCGCGACGUCGCCCUCGCGGCGGCCUGGCGCUGUCCCUUUCACCCUCUCCAACGGCACGACAGUCGCUGCGUCAGCAACUAUCCUCGCGAACACAGCCACAGCCACCGCCUCAGCUCCAACUGCAGCAAGGGCGGGCAAUACGGAGCAAGUGGUCUCCGAGCACAUCAACCGUCUGCGACGUCUGUACCUUAGCAACGCGGAGAUGAGUGAUCAGUCCGGUAGGGGAGGCUGGGGUUUCGCCGUGGCUGCUGUGGAGAGGGCACCAGAGCACGCGGAUCCGUCCACCGCAGCGAUGACCGGGGCGCGCCAACCGGCGCGGCAGCAGCGAGACCUCUUGCUGUCGCCGCUGAGGGCGGCGCCCGCUGUUGGUGCCGAACACUAUCGAACCCGCUUCGGUCUGUCCUCUUCCGCGGCGCCGAUCCCGUCUGCCUGCACGCUGCCGUCUCCAUGUCGCGCGGAACUGAGCGACGCGUUGAUUGCUGCUCUUCCGCCUCCGCCAUUGCGCCGUCCGGUCACUCUGCCGUACGAGUCCAUCACGACGCUCUCCUGGAAGUCCUCUGUGCCUCAGACACAGCCCAUGCAGCCGGUGCAGAUCACCGCCAGCAGCAGCGUCGGUGCGGAUGCCAGCGGUGGCAAUGGUGGGGGUGGCGUCGAUGCAAGUUGGAUGAGCUCGCUCAGCGCAUCCUUCUCCUCCGCUGCCGCAGCGGCGGUGAUGAUGUGAGCCGCGCCGAGCGAAAAGCGUACAGGCGCUCAAGCCGGUGAUGCGUCGAGGAAAGAGGAAAAGGUGGGAAGGAGGCCUGCACAUCGCUGUGGCGCUCGCAUCACCUUCCCGUCUCUGUCUGCUUGCCUCUCUCCCCGAUGACUUGGAGCUUAGACCACUCACUAGAAUACGCACGCACGCACAGAGGCCCAUGUGACGUCCUGAACUCUGUUGUAGGCGUGCAUGGGUGUGUAUACCAUUCUCUCUCUCCGUGUGUGAGCACCUUAGACAUCG
rnacentral:misc_RNA from 1 species